GAGUUUGAUCCUGGCUCAGAUUGAACGCUGGCGGCAGGCCUAACACAUGCAAGUCGAGCGGUAGAGAGAAGCUUGCUUCUCUUGAGAGCGGCGGACGGGUGAGUAAUGCCUAGGAAUCUGCCUGGUAGUGGGGGAUAACGCUCGGAAACGGACGCUAAUACCGCAUACGUCCUACGGGAGAAAGCAGGGGACCUUCGGGCCUUGCGCUAUCAGAUGAGCCUGGGUCGGAUUAGCUAGUUGGUGAGGUAAUGGCUCACCAAGGCGACGAUCCGUAACUGGUCUGAGAGGAUGAUCAGUCACACUAGAACUGAGACACGGUCCAGACUCUACGGGAGGCAGCAGUGGGGAAUAUUGGACAAUGGGCGAAAGCCUGAUCCAGCCAUGCCGCGUGUGUGAAGAAGGUCUUCGGAUUGUAAAGCACUUUAAGUUGGGAGGAAGGGCAGUAAAUUAAUACUUUUGCCGUUUUGACGUUACCGACAGAAUAAGCACCGGCUAACUCUGUGCCAGCCGCCGACCG
rnacentral:rRNA from 1 species